UUCAAGAAGACAUGUUGCACCCUAGUCUCUCUCCGACGACCCUCGCUCCCUAAGUCUUUCUUAGGUAAUCAGCGUCAACAGCUCCCUACACCCUCAUCUAUCAAGGCUAGAAGGGUGUUUGGAUCGAGCACCAAGGCAGUCGUUCCGCUCUGUCAACCGAGCUACAUGUUAUUUUUUAAUCAAAAGGGUUUAAACUAUUUGAUCAUUUGAUCUGUUGAUGGCAGUCCUCCCACCGGUGAGUGCACAUGCUCUUCAUGUUUCAUAUCAAUCACUCAUGGCUAAUGAAAAUUCAAGCAUUCUUUGUAACUAUUCCAAUGAAUUUGCCAAGAUUUUUGGUUGAAGAAGAGAAACCACUACGUUGAAGGCGGAAUGCUGGAAAUCGUGAACAUUGUCAGGAGAAUGAACUAG